UGGACCAGUCGUGUCAAAGGGAGUAGUCUCAUAUAAUCACGAAAAAAGUUUUAAUCUUCGCAUUUAUGUAUAUACGGUCCCGAGAUACAUAUGUAUUCAGAUUCAUACAUAGAUGUGACUAAACAGAAAUACAAAUUUAAAAUCCAAAUUUUAUUUUACUUUCAAAUGAGAGUUUUUAGACAUUGAAGGAAUACCAGAACAAUUACAAUAAUGGGAUUAAUGAAUAAAACUCGAUAUUGGGAAUCACCAUUUGGAGAAACAUAUACUUCCCCACCUUUUGCAAUUUCAUUUUGUGGGCCUACGAGGAAGCAACAAAGUUAUGGAGCCGUGCAACCCAAUUGGUACGAAACCUUUGAUCACGUGAAAAUGAAGAAAGCUGAUUACGAAGCCUGGUUGCGUGAAAAAAGAAAUUCAAUCCUCGCAGAAAACAAGGCACAAAAAAGUGUGCCAUGGCGAAAAAGGCUGCGCAAUGUGAUUUCAAAUAUUUUUUCAUGCCUUAGCUUCCCGUAAAGAUUUGUUUGUAUAAACAUUGCUUGUAAAUAAGGUUGACGCAAAAUUAAAUCGAAAUUAAUUAUGGA